rnacentral:rRNA from 1 species
CGGGUGAGUAAUGCGUGACCAACCUGCCCCAUGCUCCAGAAUAGCUCUUGGAAACGGGUGGUAAUGCUGGAUGCUCCAACUUGACGCAUGUCUUGUUGGGAAAGUGUUUAGUGGCAUGGGAUGGGGUCGCGUCCUAUCAGCUUGUAGGCGGGGUAAUGGCCCACCUAGGCUUCGACGGGUAGCCGGCCUGAGAGGGCGGACGGCCACAUUGGGACUGAGAUACGGCCCAGACUCCUAGGGAGGCAGCAGCG